UACGUAGGGAGCAAGCGUUGUCCGGAAUCAUUGGGCGUAAAGCACGCGUAGGCGGCCCUGUAAGUCCGUUGUGAAAGUCAAAGGCUCAACCUUUGAAAGCCGAUGGAUACUGCAGGGCUAGAGUCCGGAAGAGGCGAGUGGAAUUCCUGGUGUAGCGGUGGAAUGCGCAGAUAUCAGGAGGAACACCAAUAGCGAAGGCAGCUCGCUGGGACGGUACUGACGCUAAGGCGCGAAAGCGUGGGGAGCAAACAGG
rnacentral:rRNA from 1 species